GAUGAACGCUGGCGGCGUGCCUAAUACAUGCAAGUCGAGCGAACAGACGAGGAGCUUGCUCCUCUGACGUUAGCGGCGGACGGGUGAGUAACACGUGGAUAACCUACCUAUAAGACUGGGAUAACUUCGGGAAACCGGAGCUAAUACCGGAUAAUAUAUUGAACCGCAUGGUUCAUUAGUGAAAGACGUUUUUGCUUUCACUUAUAGAUGGAUCCUCGCCGCAUUAGCUAGUUGGUAAGGUAACGGCUUACCAAGGCAACGAUGCGUAGCCGACCUGAGAGGGUGAUAAGCCACAAUGGAACUGAGACACGGUCCAGACUCCUACGGGAGGCAGCAGUAGGGAAUAUUCCGCAAUGGGCGAAAGCUUGACGGAGCAACGCCGCGUGAGUGAUGAAGGUCUUCGGAUCGUAAAACUCUGUGAUUAGGGAAGAACAAAUGUGUAAGUAACUAUGCACGUCUUGACGGUACCUAAUCAGAAAGCCACGGCUAACUACGUG
rnacentral:rRNA from 1 species